rnacentral:rRNA from 1 species
GAUGAACGCUGGCGGCGUGCUUAACACAUGCAAGUCGAACGAAGCACCUUGAUUUGAUUCUUCGGAUGAAGAUCUUGGUGACUGAGUGGCGGACGGGUGAGUAACGCGUGGGUAACCUGCCUCAUACAGGGGGAUAACAGUUAGAAAUGACUGCUAAUACCGCAUAAGACCACAGCACCGCAUGGUGCAGGGGUAAAAACUCCGGUGGUAUGAGAUGGACCCGCGUCUGAUUAGGUAGUUGGUGGGGUAACGGCCUACCAAGCCGACGAUCAGUAGCCGACCUGAGAGGGUUACCGGCCACAUUGGGACUGAGACACGGCCCAAACUCCUACGGGAAGCAGCAGUGGGGAAUAUUGCACAAUGGGGGAAACCCUGAUGCAGCGACGCCGCGUGAGCGAUGAAGUAUUUCGGUAUGUAAAGCUCUAUCAGCAGGGAAGAAAAUGACGGUACCUGACUAAGAAGCACCGGCUAAAUACGUG